GUCUAUGGCCAUGCCACCCUGAACAAGCCUGAUGUCUGAUCUUGGAAGCUAAACAGGGUUGGGCCUGGUUAAUACUUGGAUGGGAGACCACCUAGGAAGACCAGGUGCUGUAGGCA
rnacentral:rRNA from 1 species